UACGUAGGGGGCAAGCGUUGUCCGGAAUCAUUGGGCGUAAAGAGCGUGUAGGCGGCCAGAAAAGUCCGCUGUGAAAACUCGAGGCUCAACUUCGAGCUGUCGGUGGAAACUUUCUGGCUAGAGUCCGGAAGAGGAGAAUGGAAUUCCUGGUGUAGCGGUGAAAUGCGCAGAUAUCAGGAAGAACACCCGUGGCGAAAGCGGCUCACUGGACCACAACUGACGCUGAUGCACGAAAGCUAGGGGAGCAAACAGG
rnacentral:rRNA from 1 species